rnacentral:rRNA from 1 species
ACGCUCGACACCUACGGGAGGCAGCAGUCGGGAAUAUUGCGCAAUGGAGGAAACUCUGACGCAGUGACGCCGCGUAUAGGAAGAAGGUUUUCGGAUUGUAAACUAUUGUCGUUAGGGAAGAGAAAGGACAGUACCUAAGGAGGAAGCUCCGGCUAACUACGUACCAGCAGCCGCGGUAAUCUGAGCGGGCUGGCAAGGC